rnacentral:lncRNA from 10 species
CCUGUCUGUUCAGAUUCUUUUUGGCCUCUCUGUGUGGCAAUCCUUCCUCCCAGCUAUAGAGCAGAGACCUUCUGGAAUGAAGAUCUUAUGAUCUACUUUCAGACAUGGCAGCUCAGAGAAUUUCUUUACAGCCAGCUCUUGCCCAGAAAGAUGCUGUUGUUAGAGACCAAAUACACCACCCCUAAAUAUGCUGGAAAAGUUACCCUUUCAAAGAGGAUUUACAUCUGUAAAGGAAAUCUCCAUUCCUGCACCAGGAAGAGAAGGAUGACUAAAUCCUUCGAGAUGUAUCUAUGGAGAAGAAAAUGAUAUUUCAGCCCAAAGUUUCAACUCCCUCUUGGAUCUACCCUAGAGAUUUGCUCAGCUCACUGUGUAACUCCCAUGGAUAUACAAGGUAUCCACGCUAUUUAAUAUUCAACUUGUUUGUUUUUCUCCUGUUGAUCUGUCUUGUGUUCCAGGGCAUCCCAGCUAAGAACUCAUGAAGGGUAGAGAGAAAACUGUUUUUCCUCUCUUUCAUUUUGGGGGGCUGUUCCCAGAGAUCAAAGAUGAGCCCUGCAAACUGUCUACCCUACUCCAGAGGCUGACCUAAGACUGGAAGCCCCCCUCUUCCCUGGACACCUGUAGGAUGCAUUCCAUGGUUCAGCUGGCUAGUCUCUGAGGGUGACCACUGUUGUUGCCCAGGCUGGAGUGCAAUGGCGCGAUCUUGGCUCACCACAACCUCUGCCUCCUGGAUUCAAGCGAUUCUGCUGCCUCAGCCUCCCAAGUAGCUGGGAUUACAGGUGCCCACUACCACACCUGGCUAAUUUUUUUGUAUUUUUAAUAGAAACAGGGUUUCACCAUGUUGGUCAGGCUGGUCUCGAACUCCUGAACUCAUGUGAUCUGCCCCCCCCUCACCCGCCCCUUGGCCUCCCAAAGUGCUAGGAUUACAGGCGUGGGCCAUGACCUGCUUUUUAUUAUCAAUCUAUAAUUAUAUGUAUUGUUCCUAUAUCAUUAAAUAUUCUCCUUUGAC